UAGUAACGCGUAGGUAACUUACCCUGAAGUUUGAACAACACCGCGAAAGCGGUGCUAAUACAAGAUGGAAAUGAGGGGACUUAUGUCAUUCUCAUUUAAAGGCUCGCAAGAGCCGCUUCAGGAGAGGCCUGCGUCCUAUCAGCUAGUUGGUGAGGUAACGGCCCACCAAGGCAAUGACGGGUAGGGGGACUGAGAGGUCGGCCCCCAACAUCGGAACUGAGACACUGUCCGGACUCCUACGGGAGGCUGCAGUCGAGAAUCUUCGACAAUGCGCGAAAGCGUGAUCGAGCGACGCCGCGUGAGUGAAGAAGCCCUUCGGGGUGUAAAACUCUUUUAUAGGGGAGCAAUUUUUGAGUGUACCCUAAGAAUAAGGGGUUCCUAAACUCGUGCCAGCAGGAGCGGUAAGACGAGUACCCCAAGCGUUAUCCGGAAUUACUGGGCGUAAAGCGUCUGUAGGGGGUUUUGAUAGUCUUGUGUUAAAUGUUUGGGGCUCAACUCUAACGCCGCGCAAGAAACGUCAAAACUAGAGAGUGCGAGAGGUUGAUGGAACCUAUGGUGUAGGGGUGAAAUCCGUUGAUAUCAUAGGGAACACCAAAAGCGAAGGCAGUCAACUAGCGCUACUCUGACCCUGAGAGACGAAAGCGUGGGGAGCAAAAGGAUUAGAUACCCUUGUAGUCCACGCCCUAAACUAUGCAAACUAGCCAUUUGAAGUAUCGACCCUUCAGGUGGCGAAGCCAACGCGUUAAGUUUGCCGCCUGGGAAGUACGGCCGCAAGGCUAAAACUCAAAGAAAUAGACGGGGACUUGCACAAGCGGUGAAGCAUGUGGUUCAAUUCGACGACAAGCGAGGAACCUUACCAGGUCUAGACAUCCAUCUGAAGUCUGCAAGAAAUUGCCGAUGUCUCACAAGGACAGAUGGGUCAGGUAUUGCACGGUUGUCGUCAGCUCGUGGCGUGAGCUGUUCUCUUAAGUGAGGAAACGAGCGCAACCCCUAUGCUGCGUUACAAGUGUCGCAGCAGACUGCCUCAGACAAUGGGGAGGAAGGCGGGGAUGACGUCAAAUCAGCGUGAUCCUUUGAUGACCUGGGCUACACACGUGCUACAAUGGCCGGUACAAAGGGAAGCGAAGCGGUAACGCGGAGCUAAUCCCAUCAAAGCCGUCUCAGUUCGGAUUGAGGUCU
rnacentral:rRNA from 1 species